ACUGGGCGUAAAGGGCACGCAGGCGGUGACUUAAGUGAGGUGUGAAAGCCCCGGGCUUAACCUGGGAAUUGCAUUUCAUACUGGGUCGCUAGAGUACUUUAGGGAGGGGUAGAAUUCCACGUGUAGCGGUGAAAUGCGUAGAGAUGUGGAGGAAUACCGAAGGCGAAGGCAGCCCCUUGGGAAUGUACUGACGCUCAUGUGCGAAAGCGUGGGGAGCAAACAGGAUUAGAUACCCUGGUAGUCCACGCUGUAAACGAUGUCGAUUUGGGGGUUGAGCUUUGAGCUUGGCGCCCGUAGCUAACGUGAUAAAUCGACCGCCUGGGGAGUACGGCCGCAAGGUUAAAACUCAAAUGAAUUGACGGGGGCCCGCACAAGCGGUGGAGCAUGUGGUUUAAUUCGAUGCAACGCGAAGAACCUUACCUACUCUUGACAUCCAGAGAACUUUCCAGAGAUGGAUUGGUGCCUUCGGGAACUCUGAGACAGGUGCUGCAUGGCUGUCGUCAGCUCGUGUCGUGAG
rnacentral:rRNA from 1 species